rnacentral:lncRNA from 1 species
UCCCUUACUCAAUUCCUUCCUUCGUUAGGAAUGGCGGGACGGAAAAGAAAACAUCCUUAAUCCGUACCAAAUCAAAAGUGAAAGGAGCCCGCUUACCCACUCCCCUUUCCUCCCAUUGCUAGGAGCCCCGCCCUCUUGACUUGAUAUGUUAAGAAGACUACAACCGAGAUUUUCUUUUUUCUUGAUUAAAAAGGUUAUAACUCACCUAACUCUUCAUUUCCUUUUAGGAAGCAAUGAAACUUCAUCAUUUCCCAUGAUAUGAGAUAAAAAACAGAAUUUAGAUAGACUUAGAUCUAGUAUCUCUUCUAGAUCUAUAUAUACUAAAGUCUUUAGUAAAAGAAAAAAAAUGAAUAAAUUAGUUAAAGUAAAAAAAA